rnacentral:rRNA from 2 species
CAAGGGUUCCUGUCCAACGUUAAUCGGGGCAGGGUGAGUCGACCCCUAAGGCGAGGCCGAAAGGCGUAGUCGAUGGGAAACGGGUUAAUAUUCCCGUACUUGGUGUUACUGCGAAGGGGGGACGGAGAAGGCUAUGUUGGCCGGGCGACGGUUGUCCCGGUUUAAGCGUGUAGGUGUGUGUUCCAGGUAAAUCCGGUUCACUUUAACACUGAGGCGUGACGACGAGGCACUACGGUGCUGAAGCAACAAAUGCCCUGCUUCCAGGAAAAGCCUCUAAGCAUCAGGUAACAUCAAAUCGUACCCCAAACCGACACAGGUGGUCAGGUAGAGAAUACCAAGGCGCUUGAGAGAACUCGGGUGAAGGAACUAGGCAAAAUGGUGCCGUAACUUCGGGAGAAGGCACGCUGACACGUAGGUGAAGUGAUUUACUCAUGGAGCUGAAGUCAGUCGAAGAUACCAGCUGGCUGCAACUGUUUAUUAAAAACACAGCACUGUGCAAACACGAAAGUGGACGUAUACGGUGUGACGCCUGCCCGGUGCCGGAAGGUUAAUUGAUGGGGUCAGCGCAAGCGAAGCUCCUGAUCGAAGCCCCGGUAAACGGCGGCCGUAACUAUAACGGUCCUAAGGUAGCGAAAUUCCUUGUCGGGUAAGUUCCGACCUGCACGAAUGGCGUAAUGAUGGCCAGGCUGUCUCCACCCGAGACUCAGUGAAAUUGAACUCGCUGUGAAGAUGCAGUGUACCCGCGGCAAGACGGAAAGACCCCGUGAACCUUUACUAUAGCUUGACACUGAACAUUGAGCCUUGAUGUGUAGGAUAGGUGGGAGGCUUUGAAGUGUGGACGCCAGUCUGCAUGGAGCCGACCUUGAAAUACCACCCUUUAAUGUUUGAUGUUCUAACGUGGACCCGUUACCCGGGUUGCGGACAGUGUCUGGUGGGUAGUUUGACUGGGGCGGUCUCCUCCUAAAGAGUAACGGAGGAGCACGAAGGUUGGCUAAUCCUGGUCGGACAUCAGGAGGUUAGUGCAAUGGCAUAAGCCAGCUUGACUGCGAGCGUGACGGCGCGAGCAGGUGCGAAAGCAGGUCAUAGUGAUCCGGUGGUUCUGAAUGGAAGGGCCAUCGCUCAACGGAUAAAAGGUACUCCGGGGAUAACAGGCUGAUACCGCCCAAGAGUUCAUAUCGACGGCGGUGUUUGGCACCUCGAUGUCGGCUCAUCACAUCCUGGGGCUGAAGUAGGUCCCAAGGGUAUGGCUGUUCGCCAUUUAAAGUGGUACGCGAGCUGGGUUUAGAACGUCGUGAGACAGUUCGGUCCCUAUCUGCCGUGGGCGCUGGAGAACUGAGGGGGGCUGCUCCUAGUACGAGAGGACCGGAGUGGACGCAUCACUGGUGUUCGGGUUGUCAUGCCAAUGGCACUGCCCGGUAGCUAAAUGCGGAAGAGAUAAGUGCUGAAAGCAUCUAAGCACGAAACUUGCCCCGA